AGCAGCCGCGGUAAUUCCAGCUCCAAUAGCGUAUAUUAAAGUUGUUGCAGUUAAAAAGCUCGUAGUUGAAUUUCGGGAUUAGUACGUCGGUCGUGCCUUCGGUACGUACUGGUGUUACUGAUUCCUACCUUCUGACGAACCAUCAUGUCAUUAAUUUGGUGUGGCGGGGAAUCAGGACUGUUACUUUGAAAAAAUUAGAGUGUUUAAAGCAGGCUCGCGCUUGAAUACAUUAGCAUGGAAUAAUGAAAUAGGACGUUGACCCUAUUUUGUUGGUUUCUAGGAUUGACGUAAUGAUUAAUAGGGAUAGUUGGGGGCAUUAGUAUUCAAUUGUCAGAGGUGAAAUUCUUGGAUUUAUUGAAGACUAACUACUGCGAAAGCAUUUGCCAAGGAUGUUUUCAUUAAUCAAGAACGAAAGUUAGGGGAUCGAAGACGAUCAGAUACCGUCGUAGUCUUAACCAUAAACUAUGCCGACUAGGGAUCGGAUGAUGUUAAUUUUUUAAUGACUCA
rnacentral:rRNA from 1 species